UGGGGAAUAUUGCACAAUGGGGGAAACCCUGAUGCAGCGACGCCGCGUGAAGGAAGAAGUAUCUCGGUAUGUAAACUUCUAUCAGCAGGAGAAAUAGACGGUACCUGACUAAGAAGCCCCGGCUAACUACGUGCCAGCAGCCGCGGUAAUACGUAGGGGGCAAGCGUUAUCCGGAUUUACUGGGUGUAAAGGGAGCGUAGACGGAGCAGCAAGUCUGAUGUGAAAGGCGGGGGCUCAACCCCCGGACUGCAUUGGAAACUGUUGAUCUUGAGUACCGGAGAGGUAAGCGGAAUUUCCUAGUGUAGCGGUGAAAUGCGUAGAUAUUAGGAGGAACACCAGUGGCGAAGGCGGCUUAACUGGACGGUAACUGACGUUGAGGCUCGAAAGCGUGGGGAGCAAACAGGAUUAGAUACC
rnacentral:rRNA from 1 species